CGGCAAGUUAAAUUUUCUUGAAAACGGAUCAUGUAAUUAAGUGCGCAUGUGGGAGUUAACUAAAUAAUGUCACGAUCAACACAUCAAAAACCCAAGGAGUUCCGCAACACAGUCCUAGUGAUACAGCCACACCGCAACGUUUCAGCCCCGCAACUGAUGAAUCUGAACCCGCAGCAACUUGGGGUUGUGGUGAGCCUUAAUUAUUGUUACAGAACACCAUUGUCCCGUGUUUGCGCCGUGACGGAGCAUUUUGGCUGAUGAUUCGCUGCACUGUCAGACAGCGUUGAACAAAAUGGUGAGUUGGCUCUGAUGUAGAGUAAUUAUAACGACUUGGGUGACCACGUUAACUUUACGACGGUUAAUGGCGAAUUCAUAGAGUAAACAAUAUUGUUACGCUCAGAUCACAUUAAUAACAGUCAAGGUCAGAUUUUUCUUGUUACGGAAGCAGACUGAUAUCUAAAAUUUCAGUCAAGGGCUCCAGCCAAGACAGAUAGAUUCAUUGCCGGUCCUUAAUGUACAUGGUAUCUAUAAUGCCCCGCGCGCAAAAAAAAAAAAAAAAAAAAAAAAUUCAAGGUAUUUGUCCCAAAUUGGCUUGUGUACACGCACAUUACUGUAUGCGUUCUAAAUAAUCAUCACUUGGACCUCGUGGAAACUUUAGAUAGCCAAAACCGGCACCUGCAAGAGGGUCACUUAGACCUCCAUUCCCUCACCAAAACCCCUAUUAACUUAUCAGUAUUACAAGUCUAUCGUUCUUUAUAUCCAUAUUCAUAAGUAUCAGCUGAAUUUUAAGAAGGUUCUAACAAAGGGUUUUUGAUUACACAACCAGCGCCCUAGAGUCCAAACUUCUUGUCAAACUUUAAUUUCGGUUAAUUUCCGCAAAACCCUGCUGUAGCUAAUGAGAAAGUGAUGUAGGAAGAACAGUUAAGCAGAAUAGCUGUUCUUAUUAAAGAAAUGCCUAGGCAGGGUGAUGGAGCUAUUGUUUCAUUAGUGCAAUAUUGCAAAAUGGCCAAAGUGGGCAUUAAAUCUGCCUUUCGCCUUUUGAUGGCUCAUAAUUAUGAUUUUGAAAUUAUUAGGCUUCAGAUUAGGAGUGGACUAUUUUACGGACAAGGCGUUACCUAAUUUAUUUCAUAAGCUUGUCCGGUACAAGAGGAAAUCCGAAAGGCUGUUUCAUUACUUGGAUAAUUAUAUUUGUUUGUAACUCGCUCUAAUUCAGGGAAAAGUAUGGCAAAUUUGUCUUGUUUUAUAGAUAAAUGCAAAUACCUUAACAUACCCUUAGCCAAAAAAAAAAAAAAUAAAUAAAUAAAAAAAAAAAAAAAUAAAUAAACAAAAAAAAAAAUAAAUAAAUAAAAAAAAAAAAAAAAAUAAAUAAAUAAAUAAAUAAAAAUAAACGUAUAUCAGAUUCCAAUAAUGAUGAUUUUAGGGCUAGAAUUGCUGCAGAUUCAAAAACUCAGAACAGAAAUAAUAUCGUUACUAAGUAAGAAGAGCUUCGCGAGCUGCAAGCCUUUUAGUUGAUCUUUAAAUUUCUGUGACAGAGCCAUUUCCUUUCUAGACUAUUUAGUAGUGGUUUCUAUGACAUUAUGUGCAGUUUGUUAAAGUUUAUAUCAUUUUAAAGUGACCAGUUCAAUAACAGAUGAUUUGAGUGUAUGGUUAUCUAUUCUUGGCAGUUUUUAAUGGUUACUGCAGCUUCCACAACUUACACUGAUUGUUUAGUUCACUCCUAAACUUCUUUACGGUUAGCGCUGGCGUACAUGAACUAGGACAGCUGUUUUUCGAAGUAGAUGGAUAUUCUUCAUUUGGCCUUCUAGGUGGUAUAGACGUUCUUAUAUGCAAUAGCAUAACCCUUUUAGAGUUAGUGCCGAUCGUGUCAGCUUUCCUUGCAUGGACAGACGACUUCCACCUUACUGCACUAUUAGUCCAUCUUUUAAUCAAGAAUGUAGUUCGUCAUACAAAACGUCUGUAUAUUUGGGUCAUUUCUUUUAUUGUAAAAUUAAUAAUCUUGAACAUUUUACUCAGAGAUUUAUGAUACGUUCAAUGCUUAUAAUUGUUUGAUAGGUUGCACCGGACAAUUGAUAUCAGGCAACCUGUAACGCCUGAUUUACUUCGUAAACUUAUACAGGUGACAAAUACUGUUUGCUCUUCUAUAUUUGAGGCAUUAUUCUUUUCAGCAGUAUUUUCCCUGACCAUUUUUGAUUUUUAAGGAUAUGUGAACUUGUACACACGAACUCAAACUCCUCGAAUAUAAGUGCUAAAGGUCACGCAUUACGUGAGUGAGACGUUAGUAUUGUAACUAAUGGUGAACUUUGCAUAUUUCUUCUUUCAUCGAAAACCGAUCAGAGAAAGGUGAAGGAGUAGCUAUUCAUUUACUACUGACCAUUGUUCUACUUAACCCGUGUAUUAAUAGAGAGAUAAAUGGUUGUUCGACCAUCUAGUGCUUCAACCUAUUUAUUUGUGCGUUUAAACAGUCUACCCGUCAUACGCUAUCAGUUUAGUGUGUUCUAAAGAAAUCUUUGACUGCGAUUGGAGUUAAUCCCCUUCCGUAUAAACCACAUUCAUUUAGAGUAGGUGCUGCAACAGCAGCAUGACUGCUGACGAUAUUUCAGGAAUGGGGCGUUGCGCCCCGGAUUCAAGUGCAUUUAAAUCUUACAUUAGAAUCCCCUCACGUCAGCUGUUGUCACUCAGAUCUUAAGCUUAUAAGCAGUUCAUUAUUUGAACCUGCCAUCUAUUUGCCUCUUUUUUGUUGACAGUUGUUUUAAGCUUUUCAGUGCGUCCUACCCAUAUUUGGAUAGUGGGAUGUUCAAUUAUAAAGUUGGUAUUUCGUUACGACAAGGAAUAAGCUGAGGGUUCUCAACUUGUAAUGCAGCGUCAUGAUGCGACCAUACUGUGGCAGAGUCAGAGUGGUAUGGAAUGGCGGCAAGUUAAACCAUUAAUCUUACACUUGUUUCAUUUUGAAGACAAUCAAGGUAUCAUUGUUAUUCACUGUGUAAUUCGCUCAUUUUUCAUUAGAGAGUGCUAGAAAACUCAUUAAUAAUUUCGCUGCUCAUUUGUUUUAAACAGCAUUGGUAGAUACAUUCGUUAUCCAGAAAUCGUCGAAUCCGUGACGUGUCUCUUCGACAGGGAUGGGUGCAGUUGUCCAAUUUUGGAAAUAUUUUGUCUUUUUUAUUCACUCUGCAACACAAGCUUCAGUGCUUUCUGGCAGUAAAUUAUUAAGGCACAGCUUCUCAGGCAGGGUUUGGUUCACUAUACUGUUGGCGGUUGUCAAGAGUUUUCUACGUUGUUCCAAAUUCUUGACAUGUGGCGGUUAGGUCAGCCUCCACCAGUAUAUCUUAACGUUGUGUAAUAAGAAGUUUGUUUGUUUCAAGUAUACUGUAUAAGGACUCUGUUCCCAGGGCCUCGACAUCUGCAUUUUAACCAUAUACUUUAUAUCAUAUGUAUUUGUAUAUUGACAUUUAUGUGAAGCUGUGACCAAUUUCUGCCAAACAUUAAUCAAAACCAAAUUAGUUAUUAAUUGCUAUAGUAAAAUUGUUUAUAGUAAAAGUAAUGUAUUCAUACAACUGUCUUGAGUUGUUCUUUUAUAGUAUUAUUAUUUUCUGUGCCAAGCUAUCUUCAGUAAUGUGUUUUUAAUGAUUACCAUUCAAAACCGGUUACUGAAGGAGCUCCGAUCCUGUUGUAAGGGCGUGCUUUAGCUAAUGUCUUGUUGGUAUAUUAAUAUACUUGUUGCGAUUUAAUCUCCUUUUGGGUCAUUUCAGUUCUGCACAUGGAAGAAGAAGGUCGUUUGCAAAUAAAUGCCAGGGUUGUUUUUGCUUCUAAUCGAAGGAAUCCUCGAUUGUUUAUACUUGCUGAUGUUUAAUAUCCCACCCUCCACGCCCCUUAUUUUGUUUGUCACAUGUUUUCCGUGUUCUCCUUUCUCUUUAUAUUUUUCAGGUACAUCUUAUGUGUUCAAGUCCAGCCUACCCCUUCCUUGCCUUCAGUCGUUACAGCUUCACAUGGAAUAUUGGCAGUGUCAUGUCACUUGUUGAUUUAUGGACACAACAGUGUUUGUUUCCAGAACUGUGAAAUGUGUAUGUGGCAUAUAUAAACGUUUAAA
rnacentral:lncRNA from 1 species